rnacentral:rRNA from 1 species
UACGUAGGGGGCUAGCGUUGUCCGGAAUCAUUGGGCGUAAAGCGCGCGUAGGCGGACCUGCAAGUCGGGGGUGAAAGCCCGAGGCUCAACCUCGGAACUGCCUUCGAUACUGCGGGUCUCGAGUCCGGGAGAGGUGAGUGGAAUUCCUAGUGUAGAGGUGAAAUUCGUAGAUAUUAGGAAGAACACCAGUGGCGAAGGCGGCUCACUGGCCUGGUACUGACGCUGAGGCGCGAAAGCGUGGGGAGCAAACAGG